rfam:TPA: Bos taurus chromosome 15, whole genome shotgun sequence.
AGUGGCUCAGGUGGUAAAGAAUCUGCCUGCAAUGCAGGAGACCUGGGUUCGAUCCCCAGCU